GCCUUUAUGGUGUAGUGGUCAGCUCACUCGACUCGUAACCGAGAGGUUCGUGGGUCGAUUCCCGGCGAGGGCA
rnacentral:tRNA from 1 species